GGAAGCGUGCCUGAAAAAGGACUACCUUGAUAGAGUAGACAUGGAACUAAAGCCCACUUCCU
rnacentral:tRNA from 1 species